GUCGGAGCUGUAUAAAAAGGCCCCAGCAGACCAGGUUCUUCAUUCGCUUGCCUUCGCUUGCCUUCACUGCCUCUUCCAUCUGUGAACAGUUGGUUCACCUCAAGAAACCUCAACAUGAACUGCUGCGGUGGAGGAGGAGGAUGCAGGCUCAUCCUGAUCAACAGCGGUAAUAGUGGCGGCGGCUGCGACUGCGACUGCGACUGCGGCGGCGGCGGGUCUAACAACAACGGAAUGAGAGUGAUCUGCCUCCCCAAUUCGUGCUGCGGUGGGUGUUGUCAACCAAGUUGUCAACCCAUGGUCUACUGCUGUGGAGGAAACAACCGGGGUGGCUGCUGCGGCUAAGUAAUCCAGCAAGUCCCCAGUGUCCAAGCCUUCCUCUGAGAUCUGUGGAAAACCCGGCUGGUCCUUUCCAUCUGAGGAUGUUGUGAUGCUCUCUCCCUCGCCUUCUUAAGCUACUCACUCUUCAUCUUCCCUUCCCUGCCCAGAGAUCACGUUCAGCACAUAAGUCUGUGAGAACAUAAAAGCAAGCAUCCACUGCUUGAGGAUGAUGUGUUCUUUCUCACCAUCUAACAACUAAUGUGUUCAUCUUCUGGGAAUGGAAGUUCUUCCAGAAUUGCUUUUCCUACUGUACUGUCAUUUCUCUGGGGACAAUAAACCUUGCAAGCAUGGACAUUUUCUGUGUUCUGGUGUUCAUUGCAUAAUAACAAAACACCUUCAUAGCUCUAUUUCCAUUCAGAUAUGAUCAUAUGAUGUUGUCUUUUACCAACUGAGAUGACUGGCCCUUCAGAUUCAGUGCUGUCUACCUGGAUCACAGAAGCUCUCAGGCAGAAAGCUCUUUUCCAGAAUUUGUUACCUGAGAUCCUUUUAAAUGGAGAUGUGUUUGGCACCCUUCUGCCUGGGUGUGUGUGUGAGAUGUUCUACCACUCAGCUCUGGUUCCUCUGUGCCUGGUAAACAAGGGGCCAAUGAUAUGAGACUUUGCCUCUUUUUAAAAAAUAAUAAUAAUUCAGGGAUUGGCAACUGUACCCCCAGACUAAAAGCUGAGUAAAAUUCUGCCCUUCUGGCUGGCCAGCUCAGAGGAAAUCAAGGGGUGCCCAGAGACCAUGGAAUUUAGGUGAUGGAGUAUGGCGAUGAAGUAUGGUCAGAUGUGGCCUACCACACACCGUCUUCUACUCGAAGUGUAAAACUAGCUUCAAACUCAAACUGCAAACAUAUAAUGAUCUGUAGUCAGGCAGACAUGAAACAGGUUAAUGGCUUCAAGGUUAGCUAGCUUGGA